rnacentral:rRNA from 1 species
AUUGAACGCUGGCGGUAGGCCUAACACAUGCAAGUCGAACGCGAAAGUCCUUCGGGAUGAGUAGAGUGGCGGACGGGUGAGUAACGCGUAGGAAUCUGUCCUGUAGUGGGGGAUAACGUUUCGAAAGGAACGCUAAUACCGCAUACGCCCUACGGGGGAAAGCGGGGGAUCUUCGGACCUCGUGCUAUAGGAGGAGCCUGCGUCGGAUUAGCUAGUUGGUGAGGUAAAGGCUCACCAAGGCGACGAUCCGUAGCUGGUCUGAGAGGAUGAUCAGCCACACCGGAACUGAGACACGGGCCGGACCCCUACGGGAGGCAGCAGUGGGGAAUAUUGCGCAAUGGGCGAAAGCCUGACGCAGCCAUACCGCGUGUGUGAAGAAGGCCUUCGGGUUGUAAAGCACUUUCAGUGGGGAGGAAAAGCUGGUGGCUAAUAUCCAUCGGCCGUGACGCUACCCACAGAAGAAGCACCGGCUAAUUCCGUGCCAGCAGCCGCCGUAACAC